CAGUUACUUACAUUCUUUUCUUCCUAUUUUCAACACCAUUCCAAAAUUCCACUACACCUGUUCCCACCUGCACCAUUUCUAACCCUCCCUCAUUUCUGCACACAAUCCGCUACUUUUUCUUCCAUUUCCUGAUUUCCUACUUUUCCUAUUCUCGACAAACACUCAUAUUUACACUCUUUUUCACCUUUUAAGCUCCUCUGCUCUUCUGGGCACCGCUAAAGCAUACCACUCGAAUCCUUCAAGAGUGGAGCUUGAUAUGAUCAUUGAUAUUGUGGAGUAAGACCCUAUUAAUUUUGCAAAUGCUAAAUUUUGCUAGGACCAGAAGUCAGCCAAGGUCUACCAGAUCUCUGUCUUUGGGAGGCAUGGAUUAUGUGGAUCCAAAAAGGAAGAGCAAUUUUGUUGGAAAAGUUCUUCUUGCUGCAGCAUUAACAACACUAUGCAUUAUCGUGAUCACGAGAUCUCCAUCUUUGAAUUCCCCUAGUCCGGUACCCUAUAUUCUUAUG